UAGGAAUUCCUAUAGGAAUUUUUCCUAUAGGAAUUCCUAUAGGAAUUCCUAUAGGAAAAAUUCCUAUAGGAAUUUUG